CACGCAGUCCAGAUGGUUGCCUGAACUCCAGGUAUUCCAUAGGUUUCCAGGCGCAGUUCCGAGCACAUCCUCAGCAGAGACUCUACUGCUGCCAUUCCAUAGUCUGUGGACUCCUACCAGACCUUGCCUAUAGCAGUCAGAGCUAUCUGCUGUCGCUACCACUGAAUGAGAGAGUAGGUGAGCCAGUCCAAGACGAAAGGCUUGCCAGAAUUGCUGAGCUACAGAUGGGGAAAUCACUAAUCCAGAUUAACUAAGUAGUCGAAGGUAAACAGCUGCAGUUUAAGGAAGAGACACGAGUGUGGAACGGAAGCAACUGCGGACCAGCCACCUCUUCCGCUUUCCUUAAGUUGGGCAGGAUGCAGCUGGGACUAAUAUGAUUCCUGCUCCAUCAAAGGUUGCAACAGUCACUCCUUGCUGAAUGAUUCAUUCUGACCUUGACGGCUUGAGCAGCGCCAGUACUCCACAAUCUGGUGCUUAUGGUCCAAAGGCACCUGAUUCCUGCACCUUUGUUAAAGCUAACCUGGGCCAGGCCUGAUCAGUGCCUGGAUGGAAGAUACCUGGAAAUCUUGUAUACGCUGCUGUGGAAUCUAUUGUGACAGAAAGGCAGAAUGUAAGCACUCAGACUUUCUCAAGUAAUUGCUUUUAUGAAGUGUCUCUCCUUAAUCCUGCUGGGCUGCUUCUUGGUGUCGGCUUGAUUACCUACCAUUUAUUGGUCUGUUAUGCUUCAUUUCUCUUUCAUUAUGUGGGCUUGAUAAAAUGUAGGAUGUAAAUUCUUAAACUAAACACAAAAGUAAGAAGUAAGAAGAAUUGCCAGUACAGAUGUAGACUGAAACACAUUAGCUGGGAAUAGCACAUGGCAACCACUAGUGGAACUUCUAGAAAACAUGCAUUGACUUAAAUCCUAGUGAAAUUAAUGGCGUGUAUAUGGCUGUAUCCACACACAGUAAAAAAAGAUGUCUUGAAAGAGGCUUCAGGGUGGUAGCCUACACACAGUAGUGCC
rnacentral:lncRNA from 1 species